rnacentral:rRNA from 1 species
UACGAAGGGGGCUAGCGUUGCUCGGAAUUACUGGGCGUAAAGCGCACGUAGGCGGCUCUUUAAGUCGGGGGUGAAAUCCUGGAGCUCAACUCCAGAACUGCCUUCGAUACUGAAGAGCUCGAGUCCGGGAGAGGUGAGUGGAACUGCGAGUGUAGAGGUGAAAUUCGUAGAUAUUCGCAAGAACACCAGUGGCGAAGGCGGCUCACUGGCCCGGUAUUGACGCUGAGGUGCGAAAGCGUGGGGAGCAAACAGG